AACGAACGCUGGCGGCAUGCCUAACACAUGCAAGUCGAACGAGACCUUCGGGUCUAGUGGCGCACGGGUGCGUAACGCGUGGGAACCUGCCCUUAGGUUCGGAAUAACUCCCCGAAAGGGGUGCUAAUACCGGUUAAUGUCUUCGGACCAAAGAUUUAUCGCCUUUGGAUGGGCCCGCGUUGGAUUAGCUAGUUGGUAGGGUAAAAGCCUACCAAGGCGACGAUCCAUAGCUGGUCUGAGAGGAUGAUCAGCCACACUGGGACUGAGACACGGCCCAGACUCCUACGGGAGGCAGCAGUGGGGAAUAUUGGACAAUGGGCGAAAGCCUGAUCCAGCAAGGCCGCGUGGGUGAUGAAGGCCUUAGGGUUGUAAAGCGCUUUUACCCGGGAUGAUAAUGACAGUACCGGGAGAAUAAGCUCCGGCUAACUCCGU
rnacentral:rRNA from 1 species